rnacentral:misc_RNA from 1 species
AAUCGCGAAUUCUGCGAUU